GGACCCCACUGCUAUCGGGAUAAGACUAAGCCAUGCAAGUCAAGCGUCUCCAAGCUAUGUUGGAGAUGCGGCGUACGGCUCAGUAACACGUGGUUAAUCUACCCUUGGGACGGGAAUAACUCCGGGAAACUGGAGCUAAUACCCGAUGGGCGGGAACGCCUGGAAUGGUCUCCCGCUGAAAUGGCGUUGAAAACAUGCUUUCAACGUUGCCCAAGGAUGAGACCGCGGCCGAUCAGGUUGUUGGUGAGGUAACGGCUCACCAAGCCUACAACCGGUACGGGCCGUGAGAGCGGAAGCCCGGAGAUGGGCACUGAGACAAGGGCCCAGGCCCUACGGGGCGCAGCAGUCGCGAAAACUCCGCAAUACACGAAAGUGUGACGGGGCUAUCCCGAGUGCCAUCCGCUGAGGAUGGCUUUUCCCCAGUGUAUAAAGCUGGGGGAAUAAGGAGAGGGCAAGCCUGGUGUCAGCCGCCGCGGUAAUACCAGCUCUCCGAGUGGUGGGGAUGUUUAUUGGGCCUAAAGCAUUCGUAGCCUGCUUGGCAAGUCCUCCGUUAAAUCCAACGAUUCAAUCGUUGGGCUGCGGGGGAUACUGUCCGGCUAGGGGGCGGGAGAGGCCGACGGUAUCCCCGGGGUAGGGGUGAAAUCCUAUAAUCCCGGGAGGACCACCAGUGGCGAAGGCUGUCGGCUAGAACGCGCUCGACGGUGAGGGAUGAAAGCUGGGGGAGCGAACCGGAUUAGAUACCCGGGUAGUCCCAGCUGUAAACGAUGCAGGCUAGGUGUUGGCGCGGCUACGUGCCGCUCCAGUGCCGCAGGGAAGCCGUUAAGCCUGCCGCCUGGGAAGUACGGCCGCAAGGCUGAAACUUAAAGGAAUUGGCGGGGGAGCAC
rnacentral:rRNA from 1 species